GCGCCCGUAGCUCAGCUGGAUAGAGCGAAUGACUACGAAUCAUUAGGUCGGAGGUUCGACUCCUUCCGGGCGCACCA
rnacentral:tRNA from 3 species